UUACAGCUUUCAGCAAUUGAGUAAAGUAUACUCCUGUGAAAAAAAUUUAGAGCAUAUUUGUUUCUCUAUACCUGAUUUCUCUGGAAUUUGGAAACUAGUUAUAUCACCUCUUGUCGAAACUCAAGAGUCACGAAUGGCCCUCGCCAUAUUGAUGCUUUCUGAAUGAGCUCCUCUCUACUCUGACUGCAAGAGACCCUCAUAAGUAGGUGGGAAUAUCAUCGCCUCUAUUCAGCCUGAAGAAGUUACAGAAGAUGGAUCUUUGUCCUUCUGCAACCCUUAGGAUUAAGACUUUCUUAUAAAAGAAAGGGGGGAAAUGUCAGAGAUGUGUGACAUGGACAAAAAGCUCCCCAUGGUGGAAAGAGGAGUCAGAAAACACCUAGACAAUGAGAGCAAGAUGGGGGACCCAAAACGGUGCCCUGGCAUAGGCAGGUGGUGAAACCAGCCAUCUGGCCCUGUGCCCUGUCCUCAGAAGUGCCCCUGCCACCCCAGCAGGUACAUUUGCAGGUGAAGAUUUUUCUUUCAUUUUAGUGUCCUGGAAACCAAGUAUUUUCUGUUGGUGGUGUCUCUCUUGCACCAGGUGAAUAUUUGCCUGGCUUACCUGAGACUUAGACCAUCCUAAUUUCAACCUCCACUGACACAAACUAGGUUGGUUCACAACAGGCUGCCAUAAAAUUUCUCAUUUUUUUCUGCGUUUGAAAUGUGUAACUUUUGAUUUACUUCCUAAGUAAGACUUCCUGAGUUGGGAGCUCUGAAAAGUUCCAUUAAAAAAUAAUGGAAUUGUCAAACUUUUGAGCAAAGUAUCAAUGUCAGUUCUAAAUCUUUGAAUUUAAUUUCUUCUUUUAGGGGACUCUUGGAAAGGGAAAAUAUGAUCUUACUACAUUGACCAUGCAAAUUCUGAGGUUCAUAUUGAAUCUAAAGUCAUUAGAAAAUGUAAAUCUCAAUAAAAUCCCUAAUACUAAAUACUCAUAGAUAUGUAUAUA